rnacentral:misc_RNA from 1 species
GAUGAAGAACGCAGCGAAAUGCGAUAAGUAAUGUGAAUUGCAGAAUUCAGUGAAUCAUCGAAUCUUUGAACGCACAUUGCGCCCGCCAGUAUUCUGGCGGGCAUGCCUGUUCGAGCGUCAUUUCAGCCAUCAAGCCCCCGGCUUGUGUUGGGGACCUGCGGCUGCCGCAGGCCCUGAAAAGCAGUGGCGGGCUCGCUGUCACACCGAGCGUAGUAGCAUACAUCUCGCUCUGGGCGUGCUGCGGGUUCCGGCCGUUAAACCACCUUCAUAACCCAAGGUUGACCUCGGAUCAGGUAGGAAGACCCGCUGAACUUAAGCAUAUCAAUAAGCGGAGGA